AUUGAACGCUGGCGGCAUGCUUUACACAUGCAAGUCGAACGGCAGCACGGACUUCGGUCUGGUGGCGAGUGGCGAACGGGUGAGUAAUACAUCGGAACGUGCCCAGUUGUGGGGGAUAACUACUCGAAAGAGUAGCUAAUACCGCAUGAGAACUGAGGUUGAAAGCAGGGGAUCGUAAGACCUUGCGCAACUGGAGCGGCCGAUGGCAGAUUAGGUAGUUGGUGGGAUAAAAGCUUACCAAGCCGACGAUCUGUAGCUGGUCUGAGAGGACGACCAGCCACACGGGGACUGAGACACGGCCCAGACUCCUACGGGAGGCAGCAGUGGGGAAUUUUGGACAAUGGGCGAAAGCCUGAUCCAGCAAUGCCGCGUGCAGGAUGAAGGCCUUCGGGUUGUAAACUGCUUUUGUACGGAACGAAAAGCUUCGGGUUAAUACCCUGGAGUCAUGACGGUACCGUAAGAAUAAGCACCGGCUAACUACGUGCCAGCAGCCGCCGUAA
rnacentral:rRNA from 1 species